rnacentral:snRNA from 1 species
AUCGCUUCUCGGCCUUUUGGCUAAGAUCAAGUGUAGAAUGUUCUAGUCACUCUCCUGUGAUCCCACUGAACAUUGUAUCUCUCUAUUCUGGAAAGUUGCCUUGUAAAACACCU